GACAUGUGGCGAUGAGUGUCUUGUGUGUAAGCGUUUGUGUGUGCGUGUGAAAAAGAGAGAGGGCAUGGUUGUUAUCAUUUCUCUCCUCAGACCUUUGUUGAAAGCCUUGGGAUCGAAGGCAGGAUCGUAAUCAUAACGUAGGGGAAGUAUAAUCAUCUCCCUGUAAUUCAGAGUGCACAAAGAGAGAGAGAGGGGGGGAGAGAGGGAGAUUAGUCUUAUACCAUAUAUUGAGAAGCUGCAGGGAAAGAAAAGAAAAGGAAUGAAAAAUAAUAAUUAAAGCCAGAGAGAGGUAUGGAGAUGGGUUAUUCGUGCUCUCUUACUUUUCUUUCAAGGCUACUUUAGAUGGAACUUGAAAGAGUAAAGACCAAACUGAGAAAAGUGUCUCUCCAAAAGCAAGAAGGUGUGUGGGUGUCACCUGAACUGUUUCUUCGAAUAGAGUGAGAGAUUCCUGGAGCUAGCGAGCCAUAGAUAGUUAAAUUUUAAUUACUCAUCUUGGGAUUUUCAAGCCUUUUAAAAAAUAAACUGUCAUUAUUAUGGAGUCUGCAAAUCUCCAUCACCAGCAUCAGCUUCAAGACCAGUUUGUUGGGUCUUCUUCUUUAACUACUGCUACCCCAUCUAGCUAUGCAGAAGCUGGAAGCGCCCGUGCUUGGACCCAAACCAUCACUUUGAAUUCUGACAACUCAAAUCCAAGCUAUAAUGGAGUAAUCUUCAACCAAAGACAGAAAAAUGAGAGUCCAAUCUCUUCUCUCAAUAGCACCAUGUUUCAGGACCUAGGCUUUCAUUACUGGAAUAACAAUGCUGGCAACUUCAGUAGCCAUUCAGCUUAUGACCUACAACUUUCAAAAAUCAAAGAAGGGCUCUCAUCAUCAGAUUCCUUUCCCAAAUUUACCGAGAUGUUAAAUAGCCCUUCAAGUACUAUUGAAGAUCCACAUGUAUCUUCAUCGAGUUACAUUAAAGAUGAGCUGAAGGAUCUGAGUCUUAGUGAAAAGCUCCUUCUCGAGACUAUUUCAUCCGGCUUUCCAAUCAAUGGCCACGAUCAGUUUUCACCCCGGCAGAUUUCCUCUAGUCAUCACAACUGUUCCAGCUUUGGAAGUGCUAUACCCAGCAGAGGGAGCUUUAGUCAGAUAUAUCCUAGUAUAAAUAUUUCAAACUUGAAUCAGCCAUCUUCACCGCUGAUCUCAGGUUCCUUCGACAUGAACUUACAGGCCUUGGAUCUCUUAACCUCUACUAGAUUUAGUGGAAGUUUUCCCCAACCAGCUUCUCUUGAUCCUCUAGACAUGUUCAAAGACAGUCUUUCUUUUGGUCUCGAUAGUAUUCAGCAAUCAAAUCAGAGGCCAUCAUGUAGCCCUAGUAAAAUAUCCUCCACCAAUGAAAUAACAGAGGCUAAAAGGCCCAACAACAGCAUGAUGGAGCCGAAGGCAACCCAAGCAGCUGCACCCAAGAAAUCGAGACUUGAGUCACGCUCUCCCUGCCCUCCUUUUAAGGUUAGAAAAGAGAAAUUAGGAGAUAGAAUUGCAGCUUUGCAGCAGUUAGUUGCACCCUUUGGCAAGACAGACACAGCAUCUGUGCUGAUGGAGGCUAUCGGAUACAUCAAGUUCCUUCAAAACCAGGUCGAGACAUUGAGUGUUCCAUAUAUGAAGUCAUCCCGCAACAAGACCAGUAGAAGCAUUCAAGCGGUAUGAAAAGUGGUUUUCUAACACCUGGCAAUACAAAAGAAUGCGAAUGCACUUGAUGUCCCUUCUUAUAGUUUGAUUGGAAGUUUAAACAGAGGCAUCAAGAUGCUGUUUCGUUGACUUUCCUAGAACAAGAACAAAAUAGAUAUAGUGGAAGUCGAAGGAGAACCCAUCUUUUGCUUAAUUUUGAAGCAUCAAAUUCGGGGGGUGAUCAAGAAUCAAAGAGGGACCUAAGAAGCCGAGGACUCUGCCUGGUGCCACUAUCUUGCAUGUCUUACGUAACGACUGAUGGUGGGGGUGGAGGCAUCUGGCCACCACCUAAUUUUGGUGGAGGGACAUAACCAUGUGGAUUUUAAGCAGUUAUGUUUAACAGUACUUUUGAGCAAAGAUUAAUUCUGAUUUAGCA